rnacentral:rRNA from 1 species
UACGGGGGGGGCAAGCGUUGUUCGGAAUUACUGGGCGUAAAGGGUUCGUAGGUGGCCAACUAAGUCAAACGUGAAAUCCCUCAGCUUAACUGGGGAACUGCGUCUGAUACUGGUUGGCUUGAGUGCAGGAGAGGAAUGCGGAAUUCCAGGUGUAGCGGUGAAAUGCGUAGAUAUCUGGAGGAACACCGGUGGCGAAGGCGGCAUCCUGGACCGAGAUUGACGCUGAUGCGCGAAAGCCAGGGGAGCAAACGGG